GUUGUUUUGUCACUCAACAAUGUUAUCAUUUAAGUCCUAUACUUGAAUGUUACAACUUUAGUAAGGAAACAGGAAAUUUGGAGUGAGCAUUUAUAGUUACUUUAAAAUAUGUAGGAUCUAUUAAGUGGAAAACAAAACUCGGAAGUAGGUAUAUAAAGUAUUUUUCAAAGUUAAAUCUAUUGCCACUUAGUAUUUGAAAGGACACUGGUCCCGAGGACAGAAAUACAUGAAAAUAGUUGGGUGGUACAUGUGUGGAGUUAGCUGUUUUCUGGGGGAGAAGGGAAAAACAAAAGAGGGAAGCUUCAUAUAGUGAUUUCUUGAGAGCCAGUGCAUUGGUUGAAAAUGUUUUACAGUGAGGGUGAAUUAAAAGAAGGUUCUGAGAUUAGUGUGCCCAAGGAUUAUCCCAAGUGAGAAGACCUGAUAGUCAUCUGGUUGAAAAUAAGUUGUUAAACUGCAAAAUUUCAGGAAUCAAGAUAAAAUUUGAAUCUUCUGUGUGUGCAUCACAGCCAUUAAGUUUUCUGGAAAAUUUGAACCUUCUAUGUACCCAUCACAACCAUUAAGUUUUCUGAAGAUCACUUUUGCAAAAAUGAGACCAUUAUACAUUGGGUUGAUUUAAGUUGGGAUUAAAUACACAAUGCUGACGUUUGGAGGAAGUAAUAUUCCAUAUCUGCUUAUCACAGUUUCAGACUUUUAACAGCAGAUGGAUGGCAAGGGUGCGUGGAGCUGCCCAUUAACAAAAAGAAAUGGGCACAGGUCUGAAAGCUGCCCAGGAAUUAGAAAUUUGCCCAUGUGAUCAAAGUUACAGAAUUUAGUGGUAAAUAGCAAAUCAAGUUAUCCAGGGUGUUGACUGCUUUAAAAGGAAAUGACUUAAACUACAUUAAAUGGCCCUUAACAUUUACUGUAAUAGUUGAAGGGCUUGUAUUGAGAUAAAAGGAAUUCCCUAUUGUGUUAAUUUGCUAUAUGUGGAAGUUGUAGGAGAGGUAGUUUUCACUUAUGGAUACACUGUAUUCUAUGUCCUUUGUCAAAGUGUGAAAGCUUUCAUCCUUUAAGACGUCAACAUUCUGAUGGGUUUACUUGAACAUCUAAGCUGUCCGCCAUUUCAUAAGGCCUGAAAAAUGGCUUUGAUUGAAAAUUUGCCUAUCAAAUUGAAAUUCAGAGUAGUAGUGAGCUUGGUGUGAGUUGGAUGGGGGUCUAUAAUCUUGUGCUCCUUUAUGCAGUUUGAGAAUUCCAACGAACCCUUUAAAAUGUUUAUGUGUAUAAAUACAUUGAAUACUAAGUGUCACAGUAAUACGUGCUACAUACAAUAAAAGGUCUUUUUGAAGUUUCUCACAAAUGCUGUUUUGAACUAAUAAAAAGAAUACUAUUGUGGUUUGUUACCAAGAAUACUGAAGGAAGUGCUGUGUUUCAUUUAACGGAAGGAAAAACUCCAAAAUCCUAGGAUCUAAGUUUAUCCAGGC
rnacentral:lncRNA from 1 species